rnacentral:tRNA from 1 species
UUCCGGAAGGCGAGCAAGGUGCACGCGGGCGUCUGUUAAACGCAGUUCAGGCAGGUUCGAUUCCUGCUCCGGGAGCCA